rnacentral:lncRNA from 1 species
CCUAAAUCCAGGAGGGUGUGUUCACUACUUUGGAAGCUGAGAGAAGAGAAUGAAGCUCAGGGGUGAUGUAGUGAAAUGUGAAGCAAGCUUCCAARAAUUUCAGUAUUUGAAAGAACAAUUUUCUGAAUGGGCAAAAGGAGCUGGCAGAUAGAUAGAAAAAGCAACUGAGUCCUGCAGAGGUGACACUCGGCUGGAAAACCUAAAUGAUCGUCCAUAUUGCACCCAAAAGAGAUGGAAGGAGUUGGAGUGUGUGGCAGGCCUAAUCUGAGAAGUGGCUUAUUCUUAAGGUAGCAAGUACACUCCCUGUGUAUCUUCAGUCUUSUCUGUGAUUUCAUUUCAAAGUACUACUGCUUCAUUCCUUGUUGGGCAGGGAGAACC